rfam:Myotis lucifugus cont2.68703, whole genome shotgun sequence.
GCCUGUGUGCUCAGUGGUCAGGGCUUUGGCCUGUGGACCAAAGGGUCUCGGGUUCAAUUCCCGGUCAAGGGCA